UUUUUUAUCUUUAGCAAUCUGUUAGCUCACACAUUUUCAUUUUCUCUUCUCUCAUCUCUCUUUGAAAUAGGUGCACUGACCAAGGCAGAGAGCAAACACGAAGAAGGUGACUAACAUGAAACGAAACAGGAGCAGCGUUGGAGCAGCAGUGGGGUUCGGUGGAGAGAUGAAGGAAGUUCGGUAGCAAUGCGUGGAGCCGCCUACACUCUACCAUUGCUAAUCCUCUCGAUUUCAGACCUCUUGCAUCAGAUCUUUGCCUCUCAAGAGUUUCUUCACCUUGAAUUUGCUAAACCUGUAGUUUUUGCCUCCUGUAAUUAAUUUGAUUGACAUGGAUUGAAGAAAACCCCUUUUUCUUAUACAAUUGAAAUAUGAAAGCCCCAAAAAAUAUAUUUAUAAAUAAAUAAAUAUAUCAGAUUACACAACCCUAGCUCUUUGGCUUCCAAGGGUUUUAUCAAAAUGCACAGAAGUUCUAAUGGAGCAAAUAUGAAGGAGCUCAGUCUCAAUCUCUCUCAAUCGUCUCAUCGAAGAAGGCUAUUUACUUGGGGAAGCACUACAAGAUGAAAGGAUUAAUGGAGGGGCAUUCAUAGGCACUGAUGGUCUUCAAUUUCCACACAAGCUAAUACUUGUCAUAGGGAAUUAUUAGUUUCAAUUUGUUUCAACGAACCUGGAUGGCAAUGGUCAGGAUGCUUUUUACUAGAUCAUCUGGGUGAUACUUAGGUGAAAAUGCAGAAUCAUGUUUCUGGUGCA